AGGAUGAAACCAUGUCAGUAUAAGGUUUAUAAAGUCAAAGUGCUGUUCUAAAUGCAGCACCCAGUCCAUAUGUUAUUACCUUUAUCUCAUGCUGAAUGUAGGUAGCUUUUCUUUUCCCUGCUUUCUGAGUGGGUGUGUGAUGGACAGAGUUUAGAAAAAUUGGAAAGCAAAAUUCUCACCUGGCCCUGCACACUGAAACAAGAAUAAAAGAGGAAUCCUGGUAAAUGUCAAAUCCCACACACUCUGCCCUUGAGUCCUUCGAAGCCAAAUGAUCAAGGCUGAAAUGAAUUGCAUGAAAGGAAGGAAGUGGAAUUAAAACCUGCUCCACCUUGCAAAGGGACACUUACAGCUUAAAUUCUGGUCAAGGUGAGGGACAGAAAGGAGUUAUAACAGAAUUACAAACUCUUCUUGGGCAUUUAGGGGAGAUAGCACCCUACAUAACAGAGCUAAAUGGAAAGGCCAAACCUGACUCUGAACAUGUGCAGUUAGUCAGGGUCAUAGUAACAGUGGUCACAGCCGGCAGAGAACACAUCCAUUGUUGCGUGGUUCUGCGCUGCCUGCAGCUGCCCUUGGCAGGUCCCAGCACGGCUGUGAGUGUUCAACUGGUGAGUUGAGAGCCAAAUGCCAUACUGAGAAGACAUCUGGGUGUCCGCAGGGAGGAGGACGACAUAAUCCCUGCUGAAAAGUGCCUGCAAUCAAAUUUGAGAUUUGAUAGUGAAGGAUGUCAAGACAAAAUCCUGAAUAGAUGUAGGCUGAGCAGUAGUUUUAUUAGCAAAACAGACUGCAUGCUCAUCAAAGCUGCCUUUCUUUAGGGGUGAAUAGGACUGCUUCAGGACUCUCUUUUUCUCCUUGUCUUGAUAUUACUAAAGUAGGAGGGGCAGCAAGAUUCCAGAGGACUGGAGAAUGCCACGAAAAUUGUGCUUGGAAGGGAUAGUCAGUAUCAUAUUAAGGUGUAAUUAAUUACUGGAUUACCAGACCAUCACAGACAUAAUACUGAAGAGAGAAUAGGAAAAGCAAGAAGGAUCACUUGAGAAGAAUAUGUGCAAUGCAUAGUGCAUUACUCUCCUUUACUUGAUUUAAGAGAGGUGCUACUGAGCAUAUUGAGGCCAGAGGCUGGCUUAGAGGACAUAGCUGCUGAUGUAAAAAGUCAACGUGUCAAGUUACACUACUAAGUGGAGCUGAUUUUAUGGUGGGCUUUUCACACAGGUGAGAUUACCUAGUUUUUAAUUACUGCAGACAGAAUGUCUUAACAUGGAUUCACUGGAGGACAUAUCAGUUGUCAUUUUGUUGGUUUCAGUACGUGCUCUGAGGUCUGUGAAACAUGCAUUGUAAAUCUUAUCCUAUGUGAAUAUCCUUGGUUAUUGAUUCUUCUGUGAGCUUGGCAGCCCUGUCAAUAAAGAAAAAAAAAAGAAUUAAAAUAAAAUCAGUGUCCUUGCCUUAUGCGGUAACCCAAACAGUUAUUGGGAAAGAAUCCACUACAGGCACGGUAGCAUGGUUAAUUAAAGCAGUAACAAGUAACAUCAUUAGUAUACUAAUUCAGUAGUGUGUAGAUGUUGUGUCCAUGUACAUCAGUGGCACAUUGCAAUUGUUGUGCUUCUGUUGCUUGGUUUAUAUUCUUCUGGAAUUAUGUGCAAACUGUGGUAUAAGUAGGAAUGCUAAACCAGUCAGUCAAUACCUAAAUUAAAAGCCAUAUAAUUUUUAGGGAAGCCUUUUUAUAGUGUCAGAAAGAGCACGAUAUUAUCAGGUUAUUUGGGCAGUAGAAACCCGAGGAAGCUAUUCUGAGAUGGCUCAGGUAUGCGUCCAGAUUUCUGUCAAUGAGCCAUUGAGAUCCAUAACAAGGCAGCGGAUUUUGAAAACUUUGUGGUUUUCAGUUGUUUUUCUGAUUUGUGUUGUUUUGCCCACCCAUCAUUCAGAUUUUAUUAGUUAAUUGGAUGUACGAGGUACUGCACAGAGCGACAGAAUGAUGCUGAACCUCUGCUCCAGUCUCUUUCCUAAUUUGUAUGAAGCAAGAUUGUCCCAGUGUUUCUUCUUACAGGUUGUAGAAAAAAAGAAAAACAAAAAACCUACGGUGCUGACUGAGAAACAUGACACUCCUUUUUCAACACUAUUAAGAACUGCUAUAAUUAAAAUUUCAACGCCUCACCCGCUAGUGUAAAUAAAAUAUCAUUCACUGUGUCUAACACUAAGUAUGUUUAAGAGAAGAAUUUGAACCGUAGUGUGUACAUUAAAUAACAAGGAGCAAAAUGUGUCCUCAUAUGCAUACACUGACUGUGCUGAAAGACUCACAACCAAAUAAGAAUAAAUUUUGGCCCCUGUUAAAUGACAGUAGAACUUAAGACACCACCUGCAAGAAUUCAAAGUUGUGCAAUCAGUAAAUUGCUAUAUCACUUGGGUUUGGAAAAACAAACCAUCAAGACUGUAGUUUUGUGCUUGCAAUCCAUGAUUUAAUAAGCAUUUUGUCACUCAGGACAGUAUCAUCAUGGUUCAUAAAAGUAAAGUAUUGACACUGCAAACCUAGUGUGAGCUCACCUUACUGCUUCAAGAAUAUUAUAUUAUUUGUGUGCUUAUGGAAGGAAAUGAACUUUUGGAUUUUCUCAAGAAAACGUUGGAAAAAUAUCAAUUAAAGCAAAAGCCUAAGUGCAUUGGCACUGUACCUUUCAGGACUGAGACUGACUUAGGAGUUCUGCCGAUCUGCAAAUAGAGAAGAGACCAGAGCCUCUUGGAGAGGCCAAUCUGAAGAUCACCAAACUCACAAAAACUAUAUCAUCCAUGCCAAUGAAAACUGACAGAGUAGCACCUUUAUUGAAUCUUUAUUUUAGGUUUCUCAGAGGUGUUAUCCAUCUCCAUACACCUCAUAGUCUAUUCUCAGAACUGGCCCUCUGAGUCCUGAUAUCUUGCAUACGAAUACAGGGACAUGCAAGAGCCACCAUUGCCCUGGUCAGACGUUUGCCCCAUGUUUUCUUUUCAUCAAAAAGCAAAAGCUGAGAACCCUUUUCAUAUUCACUUCUCUUCAGAGGAUCUCUGCUACGUGGAAAUUCUUGCUACUUCCUUCCCAGAGAAGAAGGCAUUACUGCUGAUUACUUCUUACUAGCGAAGGAAACUGGAUUGGGCAGCUCCAUAAGGAGAAAACAUAUUUCCCAGCUGUUCUUUAUGUAUUUUCCACUGGAAAGCCUCCAGUGUUUGGGAUUGACCCUUCAUGUCAUUAAAAUGUUUGUGAUGAAACCAAACAGUGUUAAGCAAAAUUUUUACAAGGUAUUUGCCCAAGUUUUCUACUUAUUUUGGUUACGAUUCAGAGGUCACCUUCUGGAGUCAAAGCGCACAGCUGUGGCAGGACAGCAGGGGGAGAUAGUGCUCAAAGGAGGAAAAAAAGGCACAGUCUUCCUCCACCAGUAACAACCCAGCGAAUAAUGUUCCGACCAGUACCGGUCCUCCGUUAGAAAGAAAUAAUAAUUUCGUUUAAAUGGGUUUGCUCUCCUGUGGAUGGACAGUGGCAUGGGUAAGUGGUAGUGUGCUGCCUCCCUGCACUUCUCCAUCAGCCAACAGCGGCAGCGGACUCCCGAGACAGGCCUCCCUAUCUUUGCUGGUUGUCCUGGCAGUGAGCCAGUCGCCUUGUUGGUGAUUCCUCUCAGGUAGUGACCUUGCUGGGUUACAGAAGCAUGCUGUACUGACUUUAUUAAGGCCUGCCCUUUAUUGAGAGUGUGUUUAGUGCAUGUGUUGGGUCUCUAAUUAAAAUGCUAAAAUAUGGUUCCAGGAGAAAGUUUAACAGAUUAUUAUCUUUCCUGCACAGAAGGAAGAGAGUGCUAGGACAUAUCUGUUUAAAGAGUCUGUGGAAACGACAUUUUGAUGUUCCAUAUUUAUAGUAUUUUCCACCAGCGACUUAUAUAUUAAAGGCUAUAUUAUACCACCCCUAUCCCAGAAAGAGAUCUGAGAAUGGACCUGAGUCACAACCAUUCUCUCAGGCCACCUAGUCUUCUCCUUCCCCUUCUUGCUGUGGCUGGGAUGCCAUUUUGAUCAGCAUAACAUCAAAGCCUUUUUCUUCCAUUCUGACAUAUUUCUCUGGUGCAGUGCAGCUCUUAGCUUCUGCUUUUCAGAUAAGCCAGAGCAGGAUCAAUAAUACCUCAACUGAAACCCAAGCCCUAGUUAUAACUCACCUGUCCCAAUAAAAACAGGGUGUGUUACUAACGACAUGAGAGGAUCACCUCCUGCUCCCUCCCACCACAGCAUCUGACAACAUUGGGAGUAAUUAGGUCUUGGGUUUGUCAGCAGAACAAAUUUGUGUCUCUCUGCAGAAGGUAGUCUGUUUUGCUUUGUACCUUUCUAGCUUCCUUAUGGAGAUUUUUGGAAAAAAAUAAAAUCAAAGAGCUCCUAUAAGUUUUAAUCUAAGUGCAACUACAUGCUGCCAGUAGUUACAACUGACUGGUCAGGGAGGGGUUGUGGAAGAGUUAUUGAUGGUGUAAAAUGUCCGGUUGUUUUUCUGAAGCUGUCUGUGUUGGUGGCAGCUCUAAUGACAUCUAUCUGG